rnacentral:rRNA from 1 species
AUUGAACGCUGGCGGCAGGCCUAACACAUGCAAGUCGAGCGGAUGAAGGGAGCUUGCUCCUGGAUUCAGCGGCGGACGGGUGAGUAAUGCCUAGGAAUCUGCCUGGUAGUGGGGGAUAACGUCCGGAAACGGGCGCUAAUACCGCAUACGUCCUGAGGGAGAAAGUGGGUGAUCUUCGGACCUCACGCUAUCAGAUGAGCCUAGGUCGGAUUAGCUAGUUGGUGGGGUAAAGGCCUACCAAGGCCACGAUCCGUAACUGGUCUGAGAGGAUGGUCAGUCACACUGGAACUGAGACACGGUCCAGACUCCUACGGGAGGCAGCAGUGGGGAAUAUUGGACAAUGGGCGAAAGCCUGAUCCAGCCAUGCCGCGUGUGUGAAGAAGGUCUUCGGAUUGUAAAGCACUUUAAGUUGGGAGGAAGGGCAGUAAGUUAAUACCUUGCUGUUUUGACGUUACCAACAGAAUAAGCACCGGCUAACUUCGUG